GGAGGUUCUCGGGUGAUGCACACCGGAAUCAGGCUCCCCCGCUCUGUUCUGGAUGCGUCACCCAAGAACCGCA
rfam:Myotis brandtii contig300043, whole genome shotgun sequence.